GAAUUUGGUCCAACAAGUGCAUAUCGAUUAACCAGUCAACCAACCAGAACUUGACAGCCCUAGAGAUUAUAUAGGUACAGCUUCUAUCAAACUUACAGGAAUCCUGUUUCUUGUUUUCUAGAAGAGUCCAGCAGCAGAGAGCAGACUCCCUGGACCCAGCUGUGUCUCCAUGAAGAGUGACCACUCUAUGAAUCAUCCUGCUGAGUUGAAAGAUGGAAAUCAGUCUAUUGAGAAGAGCCCAGAGCAGCAGCAGAGAGCAGACUCCCCUGGACCCAGCUGUGUCUCCAUGAAGAGUGACCACUCUAUGAAUCAUCCUGCUGAGUUGAAAGAUGGAAAUCAGUCUAUUGAGAAAAGAAGAGUCCAGCAGCAGAGAGCAGACUCCCCUGGACCCAGCUGUGUCUCCAUGAAGAGUGACCACUCUAUGAAUCAUCCUGCUGAGUUGAAAGAUGGAAAUCAGUCUAUUGAGAAGAGCCCAGAGCAGCAGCAGAGAGCAGACUCCC
ensembl:lncRNA